CGAGAGAGGCCACAGGGCAACGAAAACUGCUAAUAUUCGCUACCUUGGUUGAACUCCAAGGCUCACUCGA
rnacentral:tRNA from 1 species